rnacentral:rRNA from 1 species
GAGUUUGAUCUUGGCUCAGAAUGAACGCUGGCGGCGUGGUUAAGACAUGCAAGUCGAACGGUUUUUUCGGUGUAGCAAUACAUCGAAAAAGCAGUGGCGAACGGGUGCGUAACACGUGAACAAUCUACCUCCGAGUGGGGAAUAGCUCGCCGAAAGGCGAAUUAAUACCGCAUGUGGUCGGGACUCGCAUGAGUCCUGAACUAAAGUCAGGGACCGCAAGGCCUGACGCUAGGAGAGGAGUUCGCGGCCUAUCAGCUAGUUGGCGAGGUAAUGGCUCACCAAGGCUAAGACGGGUAGCUGGUCUGAGAGGAUGAUCAGCCACGCUGGAACUGAGACACGGUCCAGACACCUACGGGAGGCAGCAGUGGGGAAUAUUGGACAAUGGGCGGAAGCCUGAUCCAGCAACGCCGCGUGAGGGAUGACGGCCUCGGUU